rnacentral:rRNA from 1 species
GAUGAACGCUGGCGGCGUGCCUAAUACAUGCAAGUCGAGCGAAUGGAUUGAGAGCUUGCUCUCAAGAAGUUAGCGGCGGACGGGUGAGUAACACGUGGGUAACCUGCCCAUAAGACUGGGAUAACUCCGGGAAACCGGGGCUAAUACCGGAUAAUAUUUUGAACUGCAUGGUUCGAAAUUGAAAGGCGGCUUCGGCUGUCACUUAUGGAUGGACCCGCGUCGCAUUAGCUAGUUGGUGAGGUAACGGCUCACCAAGGCAACGAUGCGUAGCCGACCUGAGAGGGUGAUCGGCCACACUGGGACUGAGACACGGCCCCAGACUCCUACGGAGGCAGCAGUAGGGAAUCUUCCGCAAUGGACGAAAGUCUGACGGAGCAACGCCGCGUGAGUGAUGAAGGCUUUCGGGUCGUAAAACUCUGUUGUUAGGGAAGAACAAGUGCUAGUUGAAUAAGCUGGCACCUUGACGGUACCUAACCAGAAAGCCACGGCUAACUACGUGCCAGCAGCCGCGGUAAUACGUAGGUGGCAAGCGUUAUCCGGAAUUAUUGGGCGUAAAGCGCGCGCAGGUGGUUUCUUAAGUCUGAUGUGAAAGCCCACGGCUCAACCGUGGAGGGUCAUUGGAAACUGGGAGACUUGAGUGCAGAAGAGGAAAGUGGAAUUCCAUGUGUAGCGGUGAAAUGCGUAGAGAUAUGGAGGAACACCAGUGGCGAAGGCGACUUUCUGGUCUGUAACUGACACUGAGGCGCGAAAGCGUGGGG